UCAAAUUUCGGAGUAAAGGAAGCGGAGGAA
rnacentral:rRNA from 1 species